AGACAGCAGCAGCCGCGGGAAUACGGAGGGUGCAGCGUUAACCGGAAUUACUGGGCGUAAAGCGUGCGUAGGCGGUUCGUUAAGUCUGUUGUGAAAGCCCCGGGCUCAACCUGGGAAUGGCAAUGGAUACUGGCGAGCUAGAGUGUGUCAGAGGAUGGUGGAAUUCCCGGUGUAGCGGUGAAAUGCGUAGAGAUCGGGAGGAACAUCAGUGGCGAAGGCGGCCAUCUGGGACAACACUGACGCUGAGGCACGAAAGCGUGGGGAGCAAACAGGAUUAGAUACCCGAGUAGUCCCUGUCUCUUAUACA
rnacentral:rRNA from 1 species